rnacentral:rRNA from 1 species
GUGGGGAAUCUUGCACAAUGGGCGAAAGCCUGAUGCAGCAACGCCGCGUGCGGGAAGAAGGCCCUAGGGUUGUAAACCGCUUUCAGUAGGGAAGAAAAUGACGGUACCUACAGAAGAAGGUGCGGCCAACUACGUGCCAGCAGCCGCGGUGACACGUAGGCACCAAGCGUUAUCCGGAUUUAUUGGGCGUAAAGAGCUCGUAGGCGGUUUGGUAAGUCGGGUGUGAAAACUCUGGGCUCAACCCAGAGACGCCACCCGAUACUGCUAUGACUAGAGUACGGUAGGGGAGCGGGGAAUUCAUGGUGUAGCGGUGAAAUGCGCAGAUAUCAUGAGGAACACCAGCGGCGAAGGCGCCGCUCUGGGCCGUAACUGACGCUGAGGAGCGAAAGCAUGGGUAGCAAACAGGAUUAGAAACCCCUGUAGUCC